rnacentral:lncRNA from 1 species
GCAUCACAUCUGUAAUUUUAAAAUAUUUAAUCAAGUUUUUAGAAUGUUUAUGAACCACCAGAAUGCCACUACCACAAAUAUCAUUAUUAAUACCAAUAACCAAUCUUUUUUUUCUUUUUUGUUUUUGUUUUGUUUUGUUUUGUUUUGUUUUGUUUUUGGAGACAGGAUCUCACUCUGUCGCCCAGGCUGGAGUGCAGUGGCAUGAUCACGGCUCGUUGCAGCCUUGACCUUCCCAGGCUCAGAUAAUACUCCCACCUCAACCUCCUAAGUGGCUGAAACUACAGGCACGAACGCCACCAUGCUCUGGUGUCUACCGAACGCCCGGUGAUGAGCAAGAAGGAAUUCUGAACUGCAACUGCAACUGAGAACUUGAACGAUCCUGUCUUCAGGUGGACUUUAUGAACGAACAGUUCAAUCCAGCUCCAGUGAAUUACUCUUUGUGUGACCUGGAUCUGAAACUAUCAGUGGGGCAGUUGGAAGCUCAUGUCUACACAUGGCUUUCCAGGGUGGCGUCUUUGCAGCAUUCAGAAAUCCUCUUCCGAAGAGCCCUUUGCUGUAUCCCCCCAUGCCUCCCCACCCCCACCC